CCUACGGGGGGCUGCAGUGAGGAAUAUUGCGCAAUGGGGGAAACCCUGACGCAGCAACGCCGCGUGAGUGAGGAAGGUCUUCGGAUCGUAAAGCUCUGUCAGUUGGGAAGAAAUGCCUGUUGGUUAAUACCCUUCAGGCUUGACGGUACCAACAGAGGAAGCACCGGCUAACUCCGUGCCAGCAGCCGCGGUAAUACGGGGGGUGCAAGCGUUGUUCGGAAUUAUUGGGCGUAAAGAGCGUGUAGGCGGCCUGAUGUGUCAGAUGUGAAAGCCCUGGGCUUAACCCAGGAAGUGCAUUUGAAACUGUCAGGCUCGAGUAGGGGAGAGGGAAGUGGAAUUCCUGGUGUAGAGGUGAAAUUCGUAGAUAUCAGGAGGAACACCGGUGGCGAAGGCGACUUCCUGGCCCUAUACUGACGCUGAGACGCGAGAGCGUGGGUAGCAAACAGGAUUAGAUACCCUAGUAGUC
rnacentral:rRNA from 1 species